GGAUUAUUGGGCGUAAGGGCUCGCAGGCGGUUUCUUAAGUCUGAUGUGAAAGCCCCCGGCUCAACCGGGGAGGGUCAUUGGAAACUGGGGAACUUGAGUGCAGAAGAGGAGAGUGGAAUUCCACGUGUAGCGGUGAAAUGCGUAGAGAUGUGGAGGAACACCAGUGGCGAAGGCGACUCUCUGGUCUGUAACUGACGCUGAGGAGCGAAAGCGUGGGGAGCGAACAGGAUUAGAUACCCUGGUAGUCCACGCCGUAAACGAUGAGUGCUAAGUGUUAGGGGGUUUCCGCCCCUUAGUGCUGCAGCUAACGCAUUAAGCACUCCGCCUGGGGAGUACGGUCGCAAGACUGAAACUCAAAGGAAUUGACGGGGGCCCGCACAAGCGGUGGAGCAUGUGGUUUAAUUCGAAGCAACGCGAAGAACCUUACCAGGUCUUGACAUCCUCUGACGAUCCUAGAGAUAGGACGUCCCCUUCGGGGGCAGAGUGACAGGUGGUGCAUGGUUGUCGUCAGCUCGUGUCGUGAGAUGUUGGGUUAAGUCCCGCAACGAGCGCAACCCUUGAUCUUAGUUGCCAGCAUUCAGUUGGGCACUCUAAGGUGACUGCCGGUGACACACCGGAGGAAGGUGGGGAUGACGUCUAAUCAUCAUGCCCCUUAUGACCUGGGCUACACACGUGCUACAAUG
rnacentral:rRNA from 1 species